rnacentral:rRNA from 1 species
GACGAACGCUGGCGGCGUGCUUAACACAUGCAAGUCGAACGGGCCCGCCCCUGUUUUUGGGGGUGGGUUGAGUGGCGAACGGGUGAGUAUCACGUGAGUAACCUGCCCCCUGCUCCUGGAUAACUGCUUGAAAGGGCGGCUAAUACGGGGUGUGCCGGCUGGUCCGCAUGGGCCUGGUCGGGAUAGUUUCAUCUUCGGGUGUUUCGGUGGGGGAUGGGCUCGCGGCCUAUCAGCUUGUUGGUGGGGUGAUGGCCCACCAAGGCGGUGACGGGUAGCCGGCGUGAGGGGGUGGGCGGCCACACUGGGACUGAGACACGGCCCAGACUCCUGCGGGAGGCAGCAGUGGGGGGUAUUGCACAAUGGGCGGAAGCCUGAUGCAGCGACGUCGCGUGAGGGAUGGAGGCCUUCGGGUUGUGAACCUCUUUCUCCGGUGGUGAAGGCCCUGUCCGUUGCGGCGGGGUUGACGGUAGCCGGGUAUGAAGCGCCGGCUAACUACGUG